CUGCUGCUUGCUGCACCAUGAAGUCUGCCAAGCUGGGAUUUCUUCUAAGAUUCUUCAUCUUCUGCUCAUUGAAUACCCUGUUAUUGGGUGGUGUUAAUAAAAUUGCGGAGAAGAUAUGUGGAGACCUCAAAGAUCCCUGCAAAUUGGACAUGAAUUUUGGAAGCUGCUAUGAAGUUCACUUUAGAUAUUUCUACAACAGAACCUCCAAAAGAUGUGAAACUUUUGUCUUCUCCGGCUGUAAUGGCAACCUUAACAACUUCAAGCUUAAAAUAGAACGUGAAGUAGCCUGUGUUGCAAAAUACAAACCACCGAGGUGAGAGGAUGUGAACUCAUGAAGUUGUCUGCUGCACCAUCCGAAAUAAAGACACAAGAAAAUUCAGACUGAUUUUGAAAUCUUUGUAAUAUUUCCAUAAUGCUUUAAGCUUCCAUAUGUUUGCUAUUUUCCUGACCCUAGUUUUGUCUUUCCUGGAAAUUAACUGUAUGAUCAUUAGAAUGAAAGAGUCUUUCUGUCA
rnacentral:lncRNA from 1 species